ACAGGUUUUUAACCAUCUCACAGCUCUCCAGACAUAAAUGGUCUGCUUUAAAUGCUGUCACCUAUUUCUGCUGAAGGGCAGUGAUAUUUAUGCCAGCUAUUUCUAAAGGAGUCGCUACAGGUGGUUCCAAAUCCCACCUGUGAAAAGCAGAGGCUGCCAAGAACAGGAGAGCUGCACUGUUUGACUGUCAAAAGAAACGAGAUGAUAGUUUUCAUUAUCUGAGGUUCUCCUAAAAGAAGGAACCCAGCAGGCUUGGUUUGAAUCAAAUGACAACAAAGGCUUAAAGGAGAGUUGGGCUAUUUCUGUCUUAAUGCUAUUUUGCUGUGCUUUCUUUUGGUCUUUAUUGAGAGAGACCACUUCAAGGAAGUAAGUGAGCUCGGCAACAUCUUGCAGUGCUGCUGCCUCCAGCUGCUGCAGCGUGUUGUGAACAACAGCACAGAGGGCUUUUUCUGCUGAUGGUGAACUGUGCUCACUCCAACUGACAUCCUCCCCGCUGUGGGUAAGGAAAACACACGUCAGUGCUCCUCAGCCAGGCUGUACCUUGGGAAGGCCACUACACACAGCACAGCUUUGCUGCUAAUACAGCGACACGGGCUUGCAUGCAACAGCAAUUGAAAAACGGAGCACAACCAACACAGAACGAUCCGUCCCCUAUGGGGCAGAGUGCCCAUUAAUCCUAGGUUCAAGUUGUCUUACCUCCAGCUCCUCAUUCUGCCUCUGCAAAUCCUCCAGGAUGACCUGCAGCUCCUCCUCAUCCUCACUCUCACUUUCACUCUCCGAAGAAUACUCCUCUGUUUCGCUCCGGCCAUGCUGCUGGCGACUGGAAGAGCAACGACAAGCUGAGAUCACAACACUUGCUCAAGUUUGCCAGGACUGGAGCACAUAAAGUUUGCUCGUGUUCACUGAAUAAUCUAAAGUGGCUUUGAAAACAAAAUCAGGCUUUGGUUUAAUUUAACAAACGCACGAUUUCCUAUGGGGAUGUUUUUUUGUGGUGCAAAGGUCCAGCUCCCAUUAGAUCAUAACUUCAUUGCUGUACUAACAGAAAAUAUCCCGAAAGUUGAAAAGAUGCUGAGAUUUCAAUAAAAGGAAUCAGCUUGCAAACGU